rnacentral:lncRNA from 1 species
UGGGCCCACAUCCAGCACAUACUGGUAGACUGCUUGUUAGGAGAGCAAGUGAAGCCCCUGACCUUCCUAUCUCGUGUCCCACAGAAAAUUUUGGAACUACUGCUCCAAGUAUCUAAGAUAAGAGUAUGGCACAACAAUAUUCACAAGAAGGUAGAUUAGAAUGGAACUCAUGAUUGAUCUCACGAGGAUAGUCCUCUCUAUCAUGGAGAAGGUGUUGGGAAUAGUAUCCC